AUCCGGGUUGCGGACAGUGUCUGGUGGGUAGUUUGACUGGGGCGGUCUCCUCCUAAAGAGUAACGGAGGAGCACGAAGGUUGGCUAAUCCUGGUCGGACAUCAGGAGGUUAGUGCAAUGGCAUAAGCCAGCUUGACUGCGAGCGUGACGGCGCAAGCAGGUGCGAAAGCAGGUCAUAGUGAUCCGGUGGUUCUGAAUGGAAGGGCCAUCGCUCAACGGAUAAAAGGUACUCCGGGGAUAACAGGCUGAUACCGCCCAAGAGUUCAUAUCGACGGCGGUGUUUGGCACCUCGAUGUCGGCUCAUCACAUCCUGGGGCUGAAGUAGGUCCCAAGGGUAUGGCUGUUCGCCAUUUAAAGUGGUACGCGAGCUGGGUUUAGAACGUCGUGAGACAGUUCGGUCCCUAUCUGCCGUGGGCGCUGGAGAACUGAGGGGGGCUGCUCCUAGUACGAGAGGACCGGAGUGGACGCAUCACUGGUGUUCGGGUUGUCAUGCCAAUGGCACUGCCCGGUAGCUAAAUGCGGAAGAGAUAAGUGCUGAAAGCAUCUAAGCACGAAACUUGCCCCGAGAUGAGUUCUCCCUGAGACUUUAGAUCUCCUGAAGGAACGUUGAAGACGACGACGUUGAUAGGCCGGGUGUGUAAGCGCAGCGAUGCGUUGAGCUAACCGGUACUAAUGAACCGUGAGGCUUAACCUU
rnacentral:rRNA from 1 species